rnacentral:rRNA from 1 species
GAUGAACGCUGGCGGCGUGCCUAAUACAUGCAAGUCGAGCGAACGGACGAGAAGCUUGCUUUUGUGAUGUUAGCGGCGGACGGGUGAGUAACACGUGGAUAACCUACCUAUAAGACUGGGAUAACUUCGGGAAACCGGAGCUAAUACCGGAUAAUAUUUUGAACCGCAUGGUUCAAAAGUGAAAGACGGUCUUGCUGUCACUUAUAGAUGGAUCCGCGCUGCAUUAGCUAGUUGGUAAGGUAACGGCUUACCAAGGCAACGAUGCAUAGCCGACCUGAGAGGGUGAUCGGCCACACUGGAACUGAGACACGGUCCAGACUCCUACGGGAGGCAGCAGUAGGGAAUCUUCCGCAAUGGGCGAAAGCCUGACGGAGCAACGCCGCGUGAGUGAUGAAGGUCUUCGGAUCGUAAAACUCUGUUAUUAGGGAAGAACAUAUGUGUAAGUAACUGUGCACAUCUUGACGGUACCUAAUCAGAAAGCCACGGCUAACUACGUG